rnacentral:lncRNA from 1 species
AGCCCUGGUCAAUCACCUUUACUCCCCUCAAGAUGUAAAAGCAUUGGAUAGGUGUAGAUGAAUUAUCUACCAACACAGGUACAACAAUCCACUGCUUUUAAUAUUUGAGGGGGUGUGAAUGAGUGCCCAGGUAAGAAGGGGUGUAAUUGGGAUUGGGUUCCUGUCAUCGUAGCACACGUACGCCAUCUUCCCAUUUUCUAGUUGUAAUCAGCUGACAGCUGACUUUUCCGAAAAAUAGCGACAUUGCUUGUUGUUUGAUUUACAUAGUUAGUUGUCAUUACUUUGAGCAAAGCUGCCAGUAUGCGCUGAAUUACCGGUAAUCAAGGAUUAUUUUACAAUCGUCUGUCACCUCAUCAUGAGUGGAGAGAUGAGAAAGCAUCUUCACUGACGAGCAAGGUAUGUUACGCUAGUUAAUUAGCUAGCUAGUUAGUUACUGUAAGUACACAAUGCAUUACCUAGACUUUAUAAACUAUCAGGCCUUCACUACCUGCAUCUACUUUGUAUUUGUUUAAGGUAAGCUAUGGCCAAUGUUGUUGGAGUGAAUACCACUGAAGACAGGUUUGAAGACAUGCUGGUAUAGCUAACAUUAGCCUAAACGUUUUACUCACUAUUUUCAGUGCCAUGGUAUUUUUCAUCCCUAUAUCCCACACAACAAGUUAGCUAGCUAACAAGUUCAUGUUAAUUCAUUGAAAGCGAGAUACAGAUUAGAGACACACAAAGGUUUGAACAGGAAUAGAGCCACUUUGUUUUAAAACAGUUGUCUCCAUGACAAUUUACUUUAUUGUGGACCCAAAUAAAUAAGACUGAUAAAGCACUGAAACAUGUCCCCCCCCCCCAGGGUAAGAUGGUGAAGGGAAUGGACCGGCUCAUGGUUCUGGUGGCCAGAGCUGGAUCUGAGGUGGCUGUCACCAUUGAGCAUUCAGCUAAGCAGAUGAGAUUGUCUCCAUGACCAGGAGAAACAUGGGCAACUCGUUCCAGUAUCCAUUCCUGCAAGCUGAAUUUAAAUGAUCAUUAUUUUUGCCAUCUUUCAUGCCUUCCAGUGUUGUAUAUAGCCAAAUCAAACAGGUCUUUCUCUACUGUUUUUCUUUUUAAGAAUUUGUUGUUGACGGUUCUGACAUGUUCUGUUUGAGCUGCUUUUGAAUGAAAAGUUGUAUUAAAAACAUUAUUGGCAUUGUUGAAUUCGAUUUUCAUAAUAGCAAGCUAGGACUGAUGGUUUGGUUAGCUAAACUACUGUAGCAAGUCUGUUUGUUUGGUUAUCAAGGCAACUACUAAUUUGCUAGCUAAUUUAUUGGUGAUUGUUGAAUACAGUUCUACUGUCAAAUAACCAUUUCUAGUGGCAAAUGUGUUAAAUUAUAGCCAUGGUACAGUAUAAAAGG